UUCAAUUCCAGCUGCAAGGUGCUCAGUGUUGUGACAAGCUGUGGGUCCUCAAAGCUGAGUACUGAAGGCUGAUUUCUGCUUCUGUUUUCAAGCCUUUCUGGACCCACUGAGGGAAGACAUUUUGUUGCUUGAAUUCAGAGGAGAAAGACAAGGGUGUUCCAGUGGCCAGCAUCCUCCUUCCUCCUGAUUUUUCAUAACAAGUGGUCAUUUCACACAGAAAUCCUGGGAGGCCCACUGAGAUCCAUCUCCUGGCUUCUCAUCUGCCCACAAGCAUGCAGUUGCAUUUAUCCCCCUGCUUCACACAGACUCAUCAAGCCUCCCCAGGGAGUUUUUAAGCUGCAAGGUGCUCAGUGUUGUGACAAGCUGUGGGUCCUCAAAG
rnacentral:lncRNA from 1 species